UGGGGAAUAUUGCACAAUGGGCGCAAGCCUGAUGCAGCCAUGCCGCGUGUAUGAAGAAGGCCUUCGGGUUGUAAAGUACUUUCAGCGGGGAGGAAGGCGAUAAGGUUAAUAACCUUGUCGAUUGACGUUACCCGCAGAAGAAGCACCGGCUAACUCCGUGCCAGCAGCCGCGGUAAUACGGAGGGUGCAAGCGUUAAUCGGAAUUAAUGGGCGUAAAGCGCACGCAGGCGGUCUGUCAAGUCGGAUGUGAAGUCCCCGGGCUCAACCUGGGAACUGCAUUCGAAACUGGCAGGCUAGAGUCUUGUAGAGGGGGGUAGAAUUCCAGGUGUAGCGGUGAAAUGCGUAGAGAUCUGGAGGAAUACCGGUGGCGAAGGCGGCCCCCUGGACAAAGACUGACGCUCAGGUGCGAAAGCGUGGGGAGCAAACA
rnacentral:rRNA from 1 species